AUUGAACGCUGGCGGCAGGCCUAACACAUGCAAGUCGAACGGUAACAGGAAGAAGCUUGCUUCUUUGCUGACGAGUGGCGGACGGGUGAGUAAUGUCUGGGAAACUGCCUGAUGGAGGGGGAUAACUACUGGAAACGGUAGCUAAUACCGCAUAACGUCGCAAGACCAAAAAGGGGGACCUUCGGGCCUCUUGCCAUCGGAUGUGCCCAGAUGGGAUUAGCUAGUAGGUGGGGUAACGGCUCACCUAGGCGACGAUCCCUAGCUGGUCUGAGAGGAUGACGAGCCACACUGGAACUGAGCCACGGUCCAGACUCCGACGGGAGGCAGCAGUGGGGAAUAUUGCACAAUGGGCGCAAUCCUGAUGCAGCCAUGCCGCGUGUAUGAAGAAGGCCUUCGGGUUGUAAAGUACUUUCAGCGGGGAGGAAGGGAGUAAAGUUAAUACCUUUGCUCAUUGACGUUACCCGCAGAAGAAGCACCGGCUAACUCCGUG
rnacentral:rRNA from 1 species